rnacentral:rRNA from 1 species
UACGUAGGGCGCAAGCGUUAUCCGGAAUUAUUGGGCGUAAAGAGCUUGUAGGCGGUUUGUCGCGUCUGCUGUGAAAUUUCGGGGCUCAACCCCGAACUUGCAGUGGGUACGGGCAGACUAGAGUGUGGUAGGGGAGACUGGAAUUCCUGGUGUAGCGGUGAAAUGCGCAGAUAUCAGGAGGAACACCGAUGGCGAAGGCAGGUCUCUGGGCCAUAACUGACGCUGAGACGCGAAAGCGUGGGGAGCGAACAGG